UAUUAGGUUGGUGCAAAAGUAAUUGCGGUUUUUGCCAUUAAAAAGAUGCAAAAACCACAAUUACUUUUGCACCAAC
rnacentral:miRNA from 1 species